GCCUGGCUGGCUCAGUGGGUAGAGCAUGUGACUUUUGAUCUCAGGGUUGUGAGUUCGAGUCCCACGUUGGGGA
rnacentral:tRNA from 1 species